GAUGCAAUAAAGCAUGAACUUCCAUGUAAAUAGAUACCAUAUAGCAUGAUAAUGUGGUAUAUAAAAAAAUCUUUGCAGUGUAAUAUUAACGGAUAAAUAAAGUAUAUAAUUGUUACGGUCUAUAUGGAGGCUCAUAAGAAAGGGUUUCUUCUUCUCUUUAUCGAUCUUACUCUCGAUUACCAUUUGUGUUCGUAUCAAUAAUCAAAGCUUUACAAUUUAAAUGGCUUUUGUACAUAAAUUUUUAACAUACUAAAUUAGUAAACUUACUAGAAAUAAUGUUGGUAUGCCUCUCGGGACAAAUUUGCUCCCCAUCAGCAAGUUCUUCAUAUUCAGCAUCAUCCAAAGACUCAGCCCGUAUCGGGGUAUAACCCAGAUAAGGAUCCAAAGUAGGAAGAUAGACA
rnacentral:lncRNA from 1 species